UACAGAGGUCUCAAGCGUUGUUCGGAUUCAUUGGGCGUAAAGGGUGCGUAGGCGGCGCGGUAAGUCGGGUGUGAAAUUUCGAGGCUUAACUUCGGAAACUGCCAUUCGAUACUGCCGUGCUUGAGGACUGGAGAGGAGACUGGAAUUUACGGUGUAGCGGUGAAAUGCGUAGAUAUCGUAAGGAAGACCAGUGGCGAAGGCGGGUCUCUGGACAGUUCCUGACGCUGAGGCACGAAGGCCAGGGGAGCAAACGGG
rnacentral:rRNA from 1 species